CCUACGGGAGGCAGCAGUGGGGAAUAUUGCACAAUGGGCGAAAGCCUGAUGCAGCGGCGCCGCGUGAGGGAUGACGGCCUUCGGGUUGUAAACCUCUUUCAGCAGGGAAGAAGCGAGAGUGACGGUACCUGCAGAAGAAGCGCCGGCUAACUACGUGCCAGCAGCCGCGGUAAUACGUAGGGCGCAAGCGUUGUCCGGAAUUAUUGGGCGUAAAGAGCUCGUAGGCGGCUUGUUGCGUCGGUUGUGAAAGCCCGGGGCUUAACCCCGGGUCUGCAGUCGAUACGGGCAGGCUAGAGUGUGGUAGGGGAGAUCGGAAUUCCUGGUGUAGCGGUGAAAUGCGCAGAUAUCAGGAGGAACACCGGUGGCGAAGGCGGAUCUCUGGGCCAUUACUGACGCUGAGGAGCGAAAGCGUGGGGAGCGAACAGGAUUAGAUACCCUGGUAGUCCACGCCGUAAACGUUGGGAACUAGGUGUUGGCGACAUUCCACGUCGUCGGUGCCGCAGCUAACGCAUUAAGUUCCCCGCCUGGGGNGACGCGCAGACAACACAAGAAGUAGACGCGNGAGACGNGCGAGACGACGACGAGGAGAGG
rnacentral:rRNA from 1 species